CAGCUUUGGGUAUAUUAAGUUCUACAAAUCCAACCAAAUCUGUUUUUGUUUUUUGACUUCCGACGUGUUGCCCUAUUUCUAUCCUUGUUUGUUAAUGUACCUACAAUAUUCAUUCAUGAUGAGGAGCCCAAAGGCCACAGGUUUAAAUCGUUUCGGGUGUUAGUCAUUUAUUCUUCAGAGGUCAAUUAAAUGAACUCUGAACUUGUUGGGUAAAAGUAGUAUAAUGUUUUGAUUGCCCAGGCAAACCUUUCUAAAUACUGGGUUAUUAUUACAAAGAUAGAUGUCAUGCAUUUUGUAUAGCUCUCAUUUACUAUAUUCGUGC